rnacentral:rRNA from 1 species
CAGUAGCCGCGGUAAUACGAGGGGGGCAAGCGUUGUUCGGAAUUAUUGGGCGUAAAGGGUGCGUAGGCGGUUUGAUAAGUUUGGUGUGAAAUCUCUGGGCUCAACCCAGAGUCUGCAUCGAAAACUGUCGGGCUUGAGUAUGGGAGAGGUGAGUGGAAUUUCCGGUGUAGCGGCGAAAUGCGUAGAUAUCAGGAGGAACACCUGUGGCGAAAGCGGCUCACUGGACCAUAACUGACGCUGAGGCACGAAAGCUAGGGGAGCAAACAGGAUUAGAUACCCGGGUAGUCCCUGUCUCUUAUAC